CACGUAGGCACCAAGCGUUGUCCGGAUUUAUUGGGCGUAAAGAGCUCGUAGGCGGUUCAGUAAGUCGGGUGUGAAAACUUUGGGCUUAACCCAAAGCGUGCAUCCGAUACUGCUGUGACUUGAGUUCGGUAGGGGAGUGGGGAAUUCCUAGUGUAGCGGUGAAAUGCGCAGAUAUUAGGAGGAACACCCGUGGCGAAGGCGGCUCUCUGGGACGGUACUGACGCUGAGACGCGAAAGCGUGGGGAGCGAACAGG
rnacentral:rRNA from 1 species